AAGUCGUAACAAGGUUUCCGUAGGUGAACCUGCGGAAGGAUCAUUAACACGUAUCCACGUAUCAACCCCUAGUGUCACGAGUACGCUCGCGCGUGCUCAGUUUUCUCUUUCUUUUCCACAAUGAAUUUUAACCACUUGAACCCAUCAGACUAAAACUAUUUCGUGCUUUUUUUUGCGCAAGCGAAAAGAAACCGAAACAAUAAAACAACAAGAAACAACUCUUAGCGACGGAUUUCUUGGCUCCC
rnacentral:misc_RNA from 1 species